AGAGUUUGAUCAUGGCUCAGGAUGAACGCUAGCGGCAGGCUUAAUACAUGCAAGUCGAGGGGCAGCAUGGUGUAGCAAUACACUGAUGGCGACCGGCAAACGGGUGCGGAACACGUACAGAACCUUCCUUCGAGCGGGGAAUAGCCCAGAGAAAUUUGGAUUAAUACCCCAUAGUACAUUGAGGCGGCAUCGUUUUAAUGUUAAAGAUUUAUCACUUGAAGAUGGCUGUGCGGCUGAUUAGGUAGUUGGCGGGGUAACGGCCCACCAAGCCUGCGAUCAGUAACUGGUGUGAGAGCACGACCAGUCACACGGGCACUGAGACACGGGCCCGACUCCUACGGGAGGCAGCAGUAAGGAAUAUUGGUCAAUGGACGAAAGUCUGAACCAGCCAUGCCGCGUGGAGGAUGAAGGUCCUCUGGAUUGUAAACUUCUUUUAUAUGGGACGAAAAAAGGGCUUUCUAGCUCGUCUGACGGUACCAUAUGAAUAAGCACCGGCUAACUCCGUGCCAGCAGCCGCGGUAAUACGGAGGGUGCAAGCGUUAUCCGGAUUCACUGGGUUUAAAGGGUGCGUAGGUGGGUUGGUAAGUCAGUGGUGAAAUCCCCGAGCUUAACUUGGGAACUGCCAUUGAUACUAUCAGUCUUGAAUACCGUGGAGGUCAGCGGAAUAUGUCAUGUAGCGGUGAAAUGCUUAGAUAUGACAUAGAACACCAAUUGCGAAGGCAGCUGGCUACUCGGAUAUUGACACUGAGGCACGAAAGCGUGGGGAUCAAACAGGAUUAGAUACCCCGGUAGU
rnacentral:rRNA from 1 species